CGCGGCCUAUCAGCUUGUUGGUAAGGUAACGUCUUCACAAGGUUAUGACGGGUAGCUUGUGUGAGAGGAUGAUCAGCCACGAUGGGAGUGAGACACGGCCCAUACUCCUACGGGAGGCAGCAGUAAGGAAUCUUCCACAAUGGGAGAAAGCCUGAUGGGGCAACACCGCGUGAUCGAUGAAGCCUUUUGGGGUGUAAAGAUCUUUUCCGGGAGAAGAACUCUGACGGUAUCCUAGGAAUAAGCACCGGCUAACUCCGUCCCAGCAGCCGCGGUAAUACGUAGGGCGCGAGCGUUGUCCGGAUUUAUUGGGCGUAAAGGUCUUGUAGGUGGUUGAUCGUGUCGGAAGUGUAAUCAUGGGGCUUAACCGUGAGCGCGCUUUCGAUACGGGUUGACUUGAGGAAGGUAGGGGAGAAUGGAAUUCCUGGUGGAGCGGUGGAAUGCGCAGAUAUCGGGAGGAACACCAGUGGCGAAGGCGGUUCUCUGGGCCUUUCCUGACGCUGAGGAGCGAAAGCGUGGGGAGCGAACAGGAUUAGAUACCCUGGUAGUCCACGCUGUAAACGGUGGGCACUAGGUGUGGGGUCCAUUCCACGGGUUCCGCGCCGUAGCUAACGCUUUAAGUACCCCGCCUGGGGAGUACGG
rnacentral:rRNA from 1 species